AAUCAACGCUGGCGGCGUGCCUCAGACAUGCAAGUCGAACGCGAAAUUUCCCUUCGGGGAGAAAGUAGAGUGGCGCACGGGUGAGUAACACGUAGGUAAUUUGCCUUUGGGUGGGGAAUAACUCAGGGAAACUUGAGCUAAUACCGCAUAAUGCAGCGGCUCGACAUCGAGACAGUUGUUAAAGCGGGGGAUCGCAAGACCUCGCGCCUGAAGAGAAGCCUGCGGCAGAUUAGCUAGUUGGUAGGGUAAUGGCCUACCAAGGCAACGAUCUGUAACCGGCCUGAGAGGGCGGUCGGUCACACUGACACUGACAUACGGGUCAGACUCCUACGGGAGGCA
rnacentral:rRNA from 1 species